GACGAACCGUGCGAACGUUGUUCGGAAUCACUGGGCUUAAAGGGCGCGUAGGCGGGCAGUCAAGUCUGUGGUGAAAUCCUCCGGCUCAACCGGAGAAUAGCUGGAGAUACUGACUGUCUCGAGGGGGGUAGGGGCAUGUGGAACUUCCGGUGGAGCGGUGAAAUGCGUAGAUAUCGGAAGGAACGCCGGUGGCGAAAGCGACGUGCUGGACCCUUUCUGACGCUGAGGUGCGAGAGCGUGGGGAGCGAACCGG
rnacentral:rRNA from 1 species